CGUGCCAGCAGCCGCGGUAAUACGGAGGAUGCAAGCGUUAUCCGGAUUCACUGGGUUUAAAGGGUGCGUAGGCGGGAUAGUAAGUCGAUGGUGAAAGCCUGCAGCUUAACUGUAGAAUUGCCAUUGAUACUGCUAUUCUUGAGUGCAGUUGAAGUAAGCGGAAUGUGUAAUGUAGCGGUGAAAUGCAUAGAUAUUACACAGAACACCAAUUGUGAAGGCAGCUUACUAAGCUGAAACUGACGCUGAGGCACGAAAGCGUGGGGAGCGAACAGGAUUAGAUACCCUGGUAGACCACGCUGUAAACUAUGAUCACUCGCUGUUGGCGAUACACUGUCAGCGGCUAAGCGAAAGCAUUAAGUGAUCCACCUGGGGAGUACGUCCGCAAGGAUGAAACUCAAAGGAAUUGACGGGGGCCCGCACAAGCGGAGGAACAUGUGGUUUAAUUCGAUGAUACGCGAGGAACCUUACCUGGGCUUAAAUGCAGAACGACCGGUCGGGAAACUGACCUUCCUUCGGGCGAACUGCAAGGUGCUGCAUGGUUGUCGUCAGCUCGUGCCGUGAGGUGUCGGGUUAAGUCCCAUAACGAGCGCAACCCCUAUUGUUAGUUACCAGCGAGUAAUGUCGGGGACUCUAACGAAACUGCCGGUGUAAACCGUGAGGAAGGUGGGGAUGACGUCAAAUCAGCACGGCCCUUAUGUCCAGGGCUACACACGUGUUACAAUGGCCAGUACAAAGGGCAGCUACCACGCGAGUGGAUGCUAAUCUCUAAAGCUGGUCUCAGUUCGGAUUGAAGUCUGCAACUCGACUUCAUGAAGGUGGAUUCGCUA
rnacentral:rRNA from 1 species